UAUUCCUACAUUUGCUACAAACGAAUACUUUUCCUUAAUUAUGUCUAUAGUUUUAAACAAAGUGCACUUGAUUGAUCCUUGGGUGAUGCUCUUUAAAAGCCUUAAGGCAUUAUAAUUUCCGGUUGCCGUGACAACCGAAACAAAACCGAUGGAAUGAUGUUCAACUUAUUGAACAGAAUCGUUCCAAAGGUGACUCUAUACAAAUGCUGUUAAUGAGUGAAAUGAGUGGACUGAUUUUUAGCUCUACUGGCCAAAGACCAGAACAGCUUAUGUGAUGGUAAUGUGUACGUAGUAUGUGCCUCCGUUCGUCUGUAAACAAUCGCUUGUGAACAUUAUACAGUGUUCAGUUUUGAUUGUAUCUCGAUGAAACUUGUACACUGUAGUAUUUAGAUAUGCAUUAGAGCUUGGUUUCAUUCGAAAACCAGUCAGAUCCACCCAUGCAUGCCUAGAUUAUGGGCCUUGAAAGUAUGAAAAAGUAUGUGAGUCUGUAAACGAUUGCUUGUGAACAUGAUACAGUCUUCACUUUGAUUGUAUUUCGAUGAAACUUCUACAAUAUUUAGAUAUCCAUUAAAGCUCGGUUCCUUUUGAAAACCAGCCAGAUCCGCCAAUGGGUGCCUAGAUUAUGGGUCUUGAAAGUAUAAAAAAAUGCUAUGUUUAGCUAAGUCUAUUUUUAGCCAAGUCUACAUGAGCGAAGUCUAUUUUUAGCCAAGUUUACAUGUAAAGUCACAAUUGCUUAUAAAUGUUUGUUCAAAUAUACCCCUGGGGUCAUAGGUUUGGUAUACUUAAAUUGGGAAAUCUUAAAAACCUUGGCCACACCAUAUUAAUAACUUGUUCAUCAGAUUUCCCCCACCUAUUUCUUCAGAAAAGCAAAAAACUUUUUUUAUUUUUUAUCACUAGUUUUUUUUUUUUUUACGAGCGCUAAUUUGUUUAGUAGAAUGUAGCCCUUUCCCUUAUAACCGUGUUUUUCGAUCGUAACAAUUAUCAAAGCACUGGCUAGUCUCAAUCAUGCAGCCGCUCUAAUUAGAGUCAAUGAAUGAUAUAGGCCCUGAUACAAACGUCUAGAUGAUCGAGACUAAAUUGGCAACAUGAAAACAUUUAUUUCACUUUCUGAUUCUUGAAAAUUACGUGAACAAUGACAAUUCUACCACCAUUUAAAGUUUGAUUAAAUUUUGGACAAAUGUGUUUGUUUUAAUUUGGCUUCUGCUUAAAGUAAACGUAAAUAUACUUGACAAGAAGUGCUGAAUUUCACUGUGAAUGACAGUGAUUAUCCAAAGUUUGAAUUUGGUUAGGACAUGUUUGACGGAAAUUCGGAUGAUCGUUACCUUGAAAAGACAGUGCCACUGUCAUCUAUACCUACUACACCUGUCCAGAUUCCUCCGAUGCAGCAGAUCAUGAAAUUCCCCAUGAGGCAACGAGGGCGUGCUCGUGGUGGAAGCCUUGGUCGCCGAUGAGUCAAUGUUUGUGGACAGUAGAACGACACUAAAAAUUAACCUGACUGACAUUCCUAUGUGCUUCAUGCAAUCCCUUGAGUUUUACCAUUCACAAAAAAACAUCAAACAAGCCGGAUUGUGUAUAUUUUGUAAAUAUUAGUCAAAAAGAAAAUAAAAAAAAUGGUGUCAGACUGUGUGAUUGGAAAUAGGUAUUAAUCACACUUUGUUUGGAAUAAAUGUUUGUAGAUUUUUUAGAUGUUCAUGUGUAUAUGUAAGCUAUAUGUGGAAAUCAUUCAAGUGUUAAAUAUUUAUGCUGAUUGGUUUUUGUCUCUGAAAAAAUAUUGCAUAUUCUUGUAUUUUCUUGAAAUAUUUUUUUGCUAUAUAAGAAAUUGACACAAUCAGUAUUUACAGUACAAAAGAAGUAAAAGUGUCUUUUGUAUUUCUAUUACGUGUCUAAAUUUGAACAAGAUAUCUAAAAAAAUUAAGAAAAAUCUGCAAGUUUAAAAAAGAUAGGCGUUUAAUUCUGAGAAAGCCUAAAAUCAAUCUGGCGCUGGCUGGAAUUUUCUGUGACAUAUUUGGUGCUGAAAUGGUUUACAAUACGGUGUAGGAUUUUUGUAAAUUCUCUUCCAGAACUAAGAUGGCUACAAAGGCCAAUCGUGAAGUCAUUGCAAGAGCGAUAGCUAUAGUUUAUAUUUGAUUGCAAAUGCCUAUAUUUAUUUUGUGAGUUAUUUUUCAAGUCACCUUGUCUAGUCAUUUCCAUGGCAUGAGAUAUGACAAUGUAUUUUAAUAGAGAAUUAUUUUUAACCAAGUUUUCCUAAGGAAAAGUGGAAAACCUAGUUAAUAGAUUUUGAUAUGCCAUUGGGCAGACACAGGUGGCUGUGACCAUUGGCACUUGUGUCCAGGCUUUAACUUAGCCAUGCAUAGGGUAUUUUGAAAAAAUAAAUUCAAAAAGGUUUAAAAAACUGGAAAACUGGUUUUGAGUUCUCUCAUUUAUUAAAUAUUUUAAAGGAAUACAUUUGCUUGAUCUCAAAUAGCAUUUGUUUGAUCUCAAAACUAAUAUUUGUAAAGAAUUAUCUUUGAGUGUUAUCAUUCUUUCACUGGAUGUUAUCCUUGUACUGUUUACAAUAUCAUUGUUAAGUUAAUAAGUGAAUAAAAUGUGAGCAAAAGCGA